AACGAACGCUGGCGGCAGGCUUAACACAUGCAAGUCGAGCGCCCCGCAAGGGGAGCGGCAGACGGGUGAGUAGCGCGUGGGAACGUACCCUUUGCUACGGAAUAGCCCCGGGAAACUGGGAGUAAUACCGUAUGUGCCCGAGAGGGGAAAGAUUUAUCGGCAAAGGAUCGGCCCGCGUUGGAUUAGGUAGUUGGUGGGGUAAUGGCCUACCAAGCCGACGAUCCAUAGCUGGUUUGAGAGGAUGAUCAGCCACACUGGGACUGAGACACGGCCCAGACGCCUACGGGAGGCAGCAGUGGGGAAUCUUAGACAAUGGGGGAAACCCUGAUCUAGCCAUGCCGCGUGAGCGAUGAAGGCCUUAGGGUUGUAAAGCUCUUUCAGUGGGGAAGAUAAUGACGGUACCCACAGAAGAAGCCCCGGCUAACUCCGUGCCAGCAGCCGCCGUAAUAC
rnacentral:rRNA from 1 species